AGGCUGAAGGCACCCGAGGGGACCAGGGCAGAAAUGGCUGGUCAGGACUGCCCACCACACCCGGGCUGGGUUUGGGCUGCAGCGCUGACCAAAGUGAAUGCACACAGUCCCCUUUCCAUGACCUUGGCAUAGUUACUGCAUUUGCAAAGGCAGUGUCACAAACGCUGACUGUACCCGUCUCGGCUUUGGACUGUGACAGGGAAGAGUCACUGCAUCUCUGUAUAUGAUAAGCAGACGUACCACUUAUUGCACGGCAGGCGAGAGGGCCAGGGUCUCCCGGGUGAGAGGCCGCCUUGGGGUCAUGUGAAGAAGGCAGGAUCUGGGAGAACCUCUUACAUGGAGGAAACGGGCUUUACCUGGGAGGUGCUGCGACUUCUUGGAUAUUAAAGAAAAGCAAAACAAAGCAAGCAAAACAAAACAAUUUCAGAAUGAAGUGAAAAGAUCACUGGAUUGAAAUUUAUGAAUCUGGCUCACCUGACCUUGCAGUGGACUUUCCUGUUGGACGCAUGGUCUUAAAGGGUAAACACAGACUCACAAAAUCGAAAAAAAAAAAAAA